rnacentral:rRNA from 1 species
UACGUAGGGUGCGAGCGUUGUCCGGAAUUAUUGGGCGUAAAGAGCUCGUAGGUGGCUUGUUGCGUCUGCCGUGAAAGCCCGUGGCUUAACUGCGGGUCUGCGGUGGAUACGGGCAGGCUAGAGGCUGGUAGGGGCAAGCGGAAUUCCUGGUGUAGCGGUGAAAUGCGCAGAUAAUCAGGAGGAACACCGGUGGCGAAGGCGGCUUGCUGGGCCAGUUCUGACGCUGAGGAGCGAAAGCGUGGGGAGCGAACAGGA